AUUGAACGCUGGCGGCAGGCCUAACACAUGCAAGUCGAACGGCAGCACAGAAGAGCUUGCUCUUUGGGUGGCGAGUGGCGGACGGGUGAGUGAUGUCUGGGAAACUGCCCGAUGGAGGGGGAUAACUACUGGAAACGGUAGCUAAUACCGCAUAACGUCGCGAGACCAAAGUGGGGGACCUUCGGGCCUCACACCAUCGGAUGUGCCCAGAUGGGAUUAGCUAGUAGGUGGGGUAAUGGCUCACGUAGGCGCCGAUCCUAGCUGGUCUGAGAGGAUGACCAGCCACACUGGAACUGAGACACGGUCCAGACUCCUACGGGAGGCAGCAGUGGGGAAUAUUGCACAAUGGGCGCAAGCCUGAUGCAGCCAUGCCGCGUGUAUGAAGAAGGCCUUCGGGUUGUAAAGUACUUUCAGCGGGGAGGAAGGCGGUGAGGUUAAUAACCUUGCCGAUUGACGUUACCCGCAGAAGAAGCACCGGCUAACUCCGUGCCAGCCGCCGCGGUAA
rnacentral:rRNA from 1 species